UAGUUUUGUCCUAAGUCAAACCUUUUAAAGUUUGACCAAGUUUAUAGAAAACUAUACUAACAUCUAUAAUAUCAAAUAAGCAUACUAUGAAGAUAUAUAGAUCAUGAUGGAUUUAAUCAAACUAAUUUAGAGUUAUAGAUGUUGGUAGAUUUUUCUAUAAACUUUGUCAAACUUCAAGAAGUUUGACUUGGGACAAAGCUAG
rfam:Brachypodium distachyon strain Bd21 chromosome 2, whole genome shotgun sequence.